rnacentral:rRNA from 1 species
CCUACGGGCAGCAGCAGUGAGGAAUAUUGGUCAAUGGACGAGAGUCUGAACCAGCCAAGUAGCGUGAAGGAUGACUGCCCUAUGGGUUGUAAACUUCUUUUAUAUGGGAAUAAAAUGUUCCACGUGUGGGAUUUUGUAUGUACCAUAUGAAUAAGGAUCGGCUAACUCCGUGCCAGCAGCCGCGGUAAUACGGAGGAUCCGAGCGUUAUCCGGAUUUAUUGGGUUUAAAGGGAGCGUAGGUGGAUUGUUAAGUCAGUUGUGAAAGUUUGCGGCUCAACCGUAAAAUUGCAGUUGAAACUGGCAGUCUUGAGUACAGUAGAGGUGGGCGGAAUUCGUGGUGUAGCGGUGAAAUGCUUAGAUAUCACGAAGAACUCCGAUUGCGAAGGCAGUUCACUGGACUGCAACUGACACUGAGGCUCGAAAGUGUGGGUAUCAAACAGGAUUAGAUACCCGAGUAGUC